UACGUAGGUGACAAGCGUUGUCCGGAUUUACUGGGCGUAAAGAGCGCGCAGGCGGUCGAUCAAGUCGAGUGUGAAAGCCCCCGGCUCAACUGGGGAGGGUCAUUCGAUACUGAUCGACUCGAAGGCAGGAGAGGGUAGUGGAAUUCCCAGUGUAGAGGUGAAAUUCGUAGAUAUUGGGAAGAACACCGGUGGCGAAGGCGGCUCUCUGGACCGACACUGACGCUGAGGCGCGAAAGCGUGGGGAGCAAACAGG
rnacentral:rRNA from 1 species